CAGCAGCCGCGGUAAUACAGAGGGUGCGAGCGUUAAUCGGAUUUACUGGGCGUAAAGCGUGCGUAGGCGGCUUCUUAAGUCGGAUGUGAAAUCCCUGAGCUUAACUUAGGAAUUGCAUUCGAUACUGGGAAGCUAGAGUAUGGGAGAGGAUGGUAGAAUUCCAGGUGUAGCGGUGAAAUGCGUAGAGAUCUGGAGGAAUACCGAUGGCGAAGGCAGCCAUCUGGCUAAUACUGACGCUGAGGUACGAAAGCAUGGGGAGCAAACAGGAUUAGAGACCCCUGUAGUCCCUGUCUCUUAUACC
rnacentral:rRNA from 1 species